rnacentral:rRNA from 1 species
GAAAAGAAACCAACAGGGAUUGCCCCAGUAACGGCGAGUGAAGCGGCAACAGCUCAAAUUUGAAAUCUGGUCCCCAGGGCCCGAGUUGUAAUUUGCAGAGGAUGCUUUUGGUGAGGUGCCUUCCGAGUUCCCUGGAACGGGACGCCAUAGAGGGUGAGAGCCCCGUCUGGUUGGAUACCGAGCCUCUGUAAAGCUCCUUCGACGAGUCGAGUAGUUUGGGAAUGCUGCUCUAAAUGGGAGGUAUAUGUCUUCUAAAGCUAAAUAUUGGCCAGAGACCGAUAGCGCACAAGUAGAGUGAUCGAAAGAUGAAAAGCACUUUGAAAAGAGGGUUAAAUAGUACGUGAAAUUGUUGAAAGGGAAGCACUUAUGACCAGACUUGGCCCCGGUGAAUCAUCCAGCGGUUCCCGCUGGUGCACUUUGCCGGGGUUCAGGCCAGCAUCAGUUCGCUCCGGGGGAUAAAGGCUUUGGGAAUGUGGCUCCCUCGGGAGUGUUAUAGCCCAUUGCGUAAUACCCUGUGGCGGGCUGAGGUUCGCGCUUUAUGCAAGGAUGCUGGCAUAAUGGUCAUCAGUGACCCGUCUUGAAACACGGACCAAGGAGUCGUCUUCGUAUGCGAGUGUUCGGGUGUUAAACCCCUACGCGUAAUGAAAGUGAACGCAGGUGAGAGCCCUCCAGGGCGCAUCAUCGACCGAUCCUGAUGUUCUCGGAUGGAUUUGAGUAAGAGCAUACGGGGCCGGACCCGAAAGAAGGUGAACUAUGCCUGUAUAGGGUGAAGCCAGAGGAAACUCUGGUGGAGGCUCGCAGCGGUUCUGACGUGCAAAUCGAUCGUCAAAUAUGGGCAUGGGGGCGAAAGACUAAUCGAACCUUCUAGUAG